AUAGGAAUAUCGGAGAAUAUACUAAAGAGCGAGACAAAGUUAGGUAGACUUCCGGUAACGCCAUUUGUCUAUUUCUCCGGCGGUUGCGGUUCGGUUCUCUUUUCUACGUAAGAUUGUGUAUGCUUCACCGGAAUCUUUUGUUCAUAGAAUAUUAUAUUGGGCAUAAGGGUAAUUGUUCCUUAACAUUAAAUCAAUACGCCUCAUUCACCGUAAAGGAAAAUCAUCCGCCUGGAUUUACCCGACUUAAUUAUUCGUGUGAGAAUUUCAAGCAUAUUUUGUUUUCGAUCCACUCGAAAAUGAAUAAUCUGAAAAUGGUAUCACCAAGUUCACCGG